rnacentral:rRNA from 1 species
UACGAAGGGGGCUAGCGUUGCUCGGAAUUACUGGGCGUAAAGCGCACGUAGGCGGCUCUUUAAGUCGGAGGUGAAAUCCUGGAGCUCAACUCCAGAACUGCCUUCGAUACUGAAGAGCUCGAGUCCGGGAGAGGUGAGUGGAACUGCGAGUGUAGAGGUGAAAUUCGUAGAUAUUCGCAAGAACACCAGUGGCGAAGGCGGCUCACUGGCCCGGUACUGACGCUGAGGUGGCGAAAAGCGUGGGGAGCAAACAGG